rnacentral:rRNA from 1 species
GGUUUGUUUGAGGAGGUCUUAGGGCCAAGGCGGGUUUUUUAGAAAUGCAGUCGAGCGGCAGCGGGUCCUUCGGGAUUUUGGCGAGCGGCGGAACCCUGAGUAAUGCGUAGAAAUCUGCCCUUUUGUGGAGGAUAACCCGGGGAAACUCGGACUAAUACUGCAUAAUCUCUACGGAGCAAAGCGGGGGAUCUUCGGACCUCGCGCAGAAGGAUGAGUCUACUGUUUGUUUUGCUAGUGGGGGGGGUAACGGCGUACCAAGGCGACGAUCAGUAGCUCCUCUGAGAGGAUGAUCAGCCCCCCGGGACUGAGACACGGCCCGGACUCCUACGGGAGGCAGCAGUGGGGAAUAUUGGACAAUGGGCGAAAAGCCUGAUCAAGCCUUGCCGUGUGUGUGAAGAAGGCCCUAGGGUUGUAAGCACUUUAAGCAGGAAAAGAAAAGCGCCGGAUUAAUAACCCGAGCGUAUUGACGGUCCUGGAUAAAAAACAACCGGGUAAAUUCCUGCAAGAACCUCGGGGAAUACGGAGGGUGCAAGCGGUAAUUAUG